rnacentral:rRNA from 1 species
CCAAUAGCGUAUAUUAAAGUUGUUGCAGUUAAAAAGCUCGUAGUUGAAUUUCGGGGUCAGUAGGCUGGUCGUGCCACAGGUAUGUACUGGUCUUACUGAUUCCUCCUUCCUGAUGGACCGUAAUGCCAUUAAUUUGGUGUUGCGGGGAAUCUGGACUGUUACUUUGAAAAAAUUAGAGUGUUUAAAGCAGGCUAACGCUUGAAUACAUUAGCAUGGAAUAAUGAAAUAGGACGAUCGAUCCUAUUUUGUUGGUUUCUAGGAUUGACGUAAUGAUUAAUAGGGAUAGUUGGGGGCAUUAGUAUUCAAUUGUCAGAGGUGAAAUUCUUGGAUUUAUUGAAGACUAACUACUGCGAAAGCAUUUGCCAAGGAUGUUUUCAUUAAUCAAGAACGAAAGUUAGGGGAUCGAAGACGAUCAGAUACCGUCGUAGUCUUAACCAUAAACUAUGCCGACUAGGGAUCGGAUGAUGUUAAUUUUUUAAUGACUCAUUCGGCGCCUUACG